rnacentral:rRNA from 1 species
UACGUAGGGGGCAAGCGUUGUCCGGAUUUAUUGGGCGUAAAGAGCGUGUAGGCGGCUUGGAAGGUCAGCUGUGAAAACUCGAGGCUCCAACCUCGAGACGUCGGUUGAAACCACCUGGCUAGAGUCCGGAAGAGGAGAGUGGAAUUCCCGGUGUAGCGGUGAAAUGCACAGAUAUCGGGAAGAACACCCGUGGCGAAGGCGGCUCUCUGGGGACGGUACUGACGCUGAGACGCGAAAGCGUGGGGAGCGAACAGG